UAGCGCAGAUCCUGCCGGACAUCUUGGAAGCAGCAGACGACGGGAAUGAGAGGAUAGCGGAAGUGGAGGAACAAGAAAGGGUGGGACGAUGGAGAUGCCAGCUCGACGCGUCUUGGGUCCUAGAAGAUACUGGAGUGGGGCUGAGUUUUAUUGUGUUCGAUGGCGACAUGGAGGUACGCUUGGAAUCAGACUGUCAACAGCUGGUACACAUCAUCAACUUCUCUAAGAAGUGGCCAGCACUUGAUCCAGAGCUUGAUGCCAUUGAGGCACUGAGAACUUCUUUUAUUUCCUUUUCGCUGAGUUUUAUACCUCGUUCUUUGAAUUUCCGUGCGGAUGCUCUUGCAAAAGAGGCCCGAUCACGUGAUUUACACUACAUGUUGGUUGACAGUAUGGUCUCUAUUCCGCUAGCUCACGAGGCUAGUACGAUAGGACCGGUUUAAGUUUGAAAUAAAGCUUUUGAUGACAAAAAAAAAAAAAA